GCUGGUUCAGCCUCGUGGGACUUGUAGUUUACAAACACUAAUGGAACCAAGGUCUUACUAUCAGAGCAUUAUAAAAUGUAACCCCCUUAGUACUUGAUGAAAAAUACAACUCCGUAUUUGAUCAAAGUACUUCAAUAAGUUGGAAAAGAAGAAAAACCCAGUUCACAGACAAGCCUCCAACUGUUAUUCAUCAAAUUAGAAAGAUGCCAGUUCAUUUUGUACUGCAAUAAUGCAAGAGCUGUAGUGAAAAUAGUUAAGAAAGGGAUGAUUAGUUCUUGAAGAGGUACAACUCAAUACAUCUAAAAAGUCUGAUCUUGCAUAUGCACAUAUC